AUGGGAACGCGAAGAACCUUACCUAGACUUGACAUCCCCUGAAUAACGUAGAGAUACGCGAAGCCCUUCGGGGCAGGGAGACAGGUGGUGCAUGGUUGUCGUCAGCUCGUGUCGUGAGAUGUUGGGUUAAGUCCCGCAACGAGCGCAACCCUUAUCAUUAGUUGCUACCAUUAAGUUGAGCACUCUAGUGAGACUGCCCGGGUUAACCGGGAGGAAGGCGGGGAUGACGUCAAAUCAUCAUGCCCCUUAUGUCUAGGGCAACACACGUGCUACAAUGGUGAGUACAGAUAGAUGCGAUACCGCAAGGUGGAGCCAAACUCUAAAACUCAUCCCAGUUCGGAUUGUAGGCUGAAACUCGCCUACAUGAAGUCGGAAUCGCUAGUAAUCGUAGAUCAGAAUGCUACGGUGAAUACGUUCCCGGGUCUUGUACACACCG
rnacentral:rRNA from 1 species